CCGGCCAUGCACCUCUGCCUUG
rnacentral:miRNA from 1 species